ACGUAUUUAUCAAGAGAAGUAAAAAACAAAGAUUUUGACUCUUAAUCAGGGUGUCCAGGGUUCGAACCCCUGAUCGCGUACCA
rnacentral:tRNA from 1 species